rnacentral:rRNA from 1 species
AUUGAACGCUGGCGGCAUGCCUUACACAUGCAAGUCGAACGGCAGCACGGGAGCUUGCUCCUGGUGGCGAGUGGCAAACGGGUGAGUAAUACAUCGGAACGUACCCUGAAGUGGGGGAUAACGUAGCGAAAGUUACGCUAAUACCGCAUAUUCUGUGAGCAGGAAAGAGGGGGAUCGCAAGACCUCUUGCUUUAGGAGCGGCCGAUGUCGGAUCAGCUAGUUGGUGAGGUAAAGGCUCACCAAGGCGACGAUCCGUAGCGGGUCUGAGAGGAUGAUCCGCCACACUGGGACUGAGACACGGCCCAGACUCCUACGGGAGGCAGCAGUGGGGAAUUUUGGACAAUGGGCGCAAGCCUGAUCCAGCCAUGCCGCGUGAGUGAAGAAGGCCUGGUGUAAG